rnacentral:rRNA from 1 species
AAAUUGAAGAGUUUGAUCAUGGCUCAGAUUGAACGCUGGCGGCAGGCCUAACACAUGCAAGUCGAACGGUAACAGAAAGCAGCUUGCUGCUUUGCUGACGAGUGGCGGACGGGUGAGUAAUGUCUGGGAAACUGCCUGAUGGAGGGGGAUAACUACUGGAAACGGUGGCUAAUACCGCAUAACGUCGCAAGACCAAAGAGGGGGACCUUCGGGCCUCUUGCCAUCAGAUGUGCCCAGAUGGGAUUAGCUUGUUGGUGAGGUAACGGCUCACCAAGGCGACGAUCCCUAGCUGGUCUGAGAGGAUGACCAGCCACACUGGAACUGAGACACGGUCCAGACUCCUACGGGAGGCAGCAGUGGGGAAUAUUGCACAAUGGGCGCAAGCCUGAUGCAGCCAUGCCGCGUGUAUGAAGAAGGCCUUCGGGUUGUAAAGUACUUUCAGCGGGGAGGAAGGUGUUGUGGUUAAUAACCGCAGCAAUUGACGUUACCCGCAGAAGAAGCACCGGCUAACUCCGUGCCAGCAGCCGCGGUAAUACGGAGGGUGCAAGCGUUAAUCGGAAUUACUGGGCGUAAAGCGCACGCAGGCGGUCUGUCAAGUCGGAUGUGAAAUCCCCGGGCUCAACCUGGGAACUGCAUUCGAAACUGGCAGGCUUGAGUCUUGUAGAGGGGGGUAGAAUUCCAGGUGUAGCGGUGAAAUGCGUAGAGAUCUGGAGGAAUACCGGUGGCGAAGGCGGCCCCCUGGACAAAGACUGACGCUCAGGUGCGAAAGCGUGGGGAGCAAACAGGAUUAGAUACCCUGGUAGUCCACGCCGUAAACGAUGUCUACUUGGAGGUUGUGCCCUUGAGGCGUGGCUUCCGGAGCUAACGCGUUAAGUAGACCGCCUGGGGAGUACGGCCGCAAGGUUAAAACUCAAAUGAAUUGACGGGGGCCCGCACAAGCGGUGGAGCAUGUGGUUUAAUUCGAUGCAACGCGAAGAACCUUACCUGGUCUUGACAUCCACGGAAGUUUUCAGAGAUGAGAAUGUGCCUUCGGGAACCGUGAGACAGGUGCUGCAUGGCUGUCGUCAGCUCGUGUUGUGAAAUGUUGGGUUAAGUCCCGCAACGAGCGCAACCCUUAUCCUUUGUUGCCAGCGGUUAGGCCGGGAACUCAAAGGAGACUGCCAGUGAUAAACUGGAGGAAGGUGGGGAUGACGUCAAGUCAUCAUGGCCCUUACGACCAGGGCUACACACGUGCUACAAUGGCGCAUACAAAGAGAAGCGACCUCGCGAGAGCAAGCGGACCUCAUAAAGUGCGUCGUAGUCCGGAUUGGAGUCUGCAACUCGACUCCAUGAAGUCGGAAUCGCUAGUAAUCGUGGAUCAGAAUGCCACGGUGAAUACGUUCCCGGGCCUUGUACACACCGCCCGUCACACCAUGGGAGUGGGUUGCAAAAGAAGUAGGUAGCUUAACCUUCGGGAGGGCGCUUACCACUUUGUGAUUCAUGACUGGGGUGAAGUCGUAACAAGGUAACCGUAGGGGAACCUGCGGUUGGAUCACCUCCUUA